AGAGUCAGCUGAGCAGUCGCCGUUUUAUUGUAAUGAUAAAAGGGAGGAAAGUCCGGGCUUCAUUGGGCAGGGUGCUAGGUAAUACCUAGGAGGCGUGAGCCUACGACAAGUGCCACAGAAAAUAUACCGCCAUAGUCACAAACGGCAAUGGUAAGGGUGAAAUGGUGCGGUAAGAGCGCACCGCGCAGCUGGUAACAGGUGUGGCAGGGUAAACUCCACUCGAAGCAAGAUCAAAUAGAGAAGCAGACGCGUGGCCCGCGCGGCUUCUGGGUAGAUUGCUUGAGCGUUCGGGUGACUGAACGCCUAGAUGAAUGGCUGCUCUCGACAGAACCCGGCUUAUAGGCUGACUCUUUCU
rnacentral:RNase_P_RNA from 2 species